rnacentral:rRNA from 1 species
UAGGGAAUAUUGCACAAUGGGCGAAAGCCUGAUGCAGCAACGCCGCGUGAGUGAUGAAGGCCUUCGGGUUGUAAAGCUCUGUCUUUGGGACGAUAAUGACGGUACCAAAGGAGGAAGCCACGGCUAACUACGUGCCAGCAGCCGCGGUAAUACGUAGGUGGCAAGCGUUGUCCGGAUUUACUGGGCGUAAAGGAUGCGUAGGCGGAUUUUUAAGUGAGAUGUGAAAACCCUAAGCUUAACUUGGGGACUGCAUUUCAUACUGGAAAUCUAGAGUGCGGGAGAGGAGAAUGGAAUUCCUAGUGUAGCGGUGAAAUGCGUAGAGAUUAGGAAGAACACCAGUGGCGAAGGCGAUUCUCUGGACCGUAACUGACGCUGAGGCAUGAAAGCGUGGGUAGCAAACAGGAUUAGAUACCCUGGUAGUCCACGCCGUAAACGAUGAGUACUAGGUGUAGGAGGUAUCGACCCCUUCUGUGCCGCAGUUAACACAAUAAGUACUCCGCCUGGGAAGUACGAUCGCAAGAUUAAAACUCAAAGGAAUUGAC